GCCGGCGUAUUUUCCAGGGCUUAUUGGAGAUGGUCACACAAAUACGUACAACCGAAACGUACGACGGUCGCUCCGUUGAUUCAUAUCAUCGCCGGCUCGAUGUUGUUUUUCUAUACAAUCAACUACGGAAAAAUUAUUCGUCAUCGUAACUACAA